rnacentral:lncRNA from 1 species
CAAAGAAAACAAAGAGAAGAGGACCUUUAAUGAUUAAUAUCUGAGAAGAUGUUCACACUCAUUAGUUAACAGAAAAAUGCAAAUUCAAGCAAUGAGGUACAUAUAUGCUGUAAAAGUACCAAAGCGAGUCUGAGAUGCCACACUCCAACUUCAGAAUGGUGGUUCCGAUAAGGAGAGGAAAAGGAAAAGGGAAUGGGAAAAGAGACGUCAGUGCUAAGUAAAUAGUGUUCUCUCUCUUUCUAAAAACUGUGAAGAAAUAUAGGGAAAAGUUGACUUUGUUGUGUGUGUGGGGGGGUGGAUACAAGGCAUCCAUUUCCUGCAUAUUUGAAAUAUUUCCUAUUGCAAAGCAAACAGAAAAAACUUCACCUUGAUUAUAUGAAUGUCAAACUUUGUAAGCUGUCACUUUAUAAAAAAAUUUCAAGUAUUAUUUUUAUUUCACUUAUUGAUUUAAUCAAGACUUGUCUGGAAUAGUUUGUAUACUGUAAACCCCAGAGAUGUUGGUUGUUGUGGUUUAAUAAUCCUCUAGGGUCUCGAGUCCAGGCAUUUAGGCUUUGCUUAAUAGUUGUUGCCUUUUUCCUUUUUUGAAAAACUAGGCAUGGAUUUAGAUGAACUUGACAAUAAUAUUUAGUUGUAUCAGUUAGGACCCAUUAAGAUUGCAAGUGACAGAAAAAUCAUUUCAAAUAGGCAGAGAUGGAAUAUUAUUUGGCCAUGUAUUGAAAAGCUCUGGGUUACCAGGGAGCUGGUCAGGCUUCAGGUACCAGUGGUUCCAGGAUCUUAAAAGAUGACAUCUACUCCCAUUUUUCUAGUUUUUCAGUAUUAUAAAUAAUGUUGCAGUAAGCAUGUUAUUGCAUGCUUAUCUACACGAGUGAGAGUUCCUCAAAUCUAGAAGUAGGAUUGGUAGGUCAAGAGUGUAGUAGACAUUUCCAACUUUCCAACCAUUAUUGCCAAAUUUCCACGUAAAGCGAGGGGUUUGUUCAUUGUUUUGUUUUGUCUUGUCUGUGUUUGCUUUUUUCCCCUCUACAACAGCCACGUGGAUUCAUGUGAUUCAAUUUUUAAAUCGACUUUCAUCUCCCACUCCGAAUAAAGCCGGCGAUCCCAGCACAAUCAGAAAGAUGUUUUUUAUUUUUUUAACUUUCAGCCUUUAAAGGUUAGGGGAGGGGUGGGGAGAAAGUAGGGGAAGGGCAAAGGUAGGAGGAGAAGGGAUUUCAAUUAAAAAAACCCGAAUAACUCGAGCCUGUCAUUUCCUAAUUAAGAGUUUGACAGCCGUUUGGCC